rnacentral:tRNA from 1 species
GCCCCUCUAGCUCAAUUGGCAGAGCAACUGACUCUUAAUCAGUAGGUUGUAGGUUCGAUUCCUACGAGGGGCA